UGUGGGAGCGGGCUUGCUCGCGAAUGCGGUGUGUCAGCCAAGUAGCGGGUGACUGACACAAUGCCAUCGCGAGCAAGCCCGCUCCCACA
rnacentral:misc_RNA from 1 species